rnacentral:rRNA from 1 species
CUACGGGAGGCUCCAGUGAGGAAUAUUGCACAAUGGGGGGAACCCUGAUGCAGCAACGCCGCGUGGAGGAUGACGCAUUUCGGUGUGUAAACUCCUUUUAUAUGUCAAGAAAAUGACGGUAGCAUAUGAAUAAGCACCGGCUAACUCCGUGCCAGCAGCCGCGGUAAUACGGAGGGUGCAAGCGUUACUCGGAAUCACUGGGCGUAAAGGACGCGUAGGCGGGUUGGAAAGUCAGGUGUGAAAUCCUACAGCUUAACUGUAGAACUGCACUUGAAACUUCUAAUCUAGAGUAUGGGAGGGGGAGAUGGAAUUAGUGGUGUAGGGGUAAAGUCCGUAGAUAUCACUAGGAAUACCUAAAGCGAAGGCGAUCUCCUGGAACAUUACUGACGCUAAGGCGUGAAAGCGUGGGGAGCAAACAGGAUUAGAUACCCUUGUAGUC